GAUGAAGCUGGAGCUUGCUCUAGUGGAUUAGUGGCGAACGGGUGANUAACACGUGAGCAAUCUGCCCUUGACUCUGGGAUAACUGCGGGAAACUGUAGCUAAUACCGGAUACGACACCUUGGGGCAUCCCGAGGUGUGGAAAGAAUUUCGGUCAAGGAUGAGCUCGCGGCCUAUCAGCUUGUUGGUGAGGUAAAAGCUCACCAAGGCGACGACGGGUAGCCGGCCUGAGAGGGUGACCGGCCACACUGGAACUGAGAUACGGUCCAGACUCCUACGGGAGGCAGCAGUGGGGAAUAUUGCACAAUGGGCGAAAGCCUGAUGCAGCAACGCCGCGUGAGGGAUGAAGGCCUUCGGGUUGUAAACCUCUUUUAUCAGGGAAGAAGCGAAAGUGACGGUACCUGAAGAAAAAGCACCGGCUAACUACGUGCCAGCAGCCGCGGUAAUACGUAGGGUGCAAGCGUUGUCCGGAAUUAUUGGGCGUAAAGAGCUCGUAGGCGGUUUGUCGCGUCUGCUGUGAAAAUCCAAGGCUCAACCUUGGACCUGCAGUGGGUACGGGCAGACUAGAGUGCGGUAGGGGAGAUGGGAAUUCCUGGUGUAGCGGUGGAAUGCGCAGAUAUCAGGAGGAACACCAAUGGCGAAGGCACAUCUCUGGGCCGUAACUGACGCUGAGGAGCGAAAGCGUGGGGAGCGAACAGGAUUAGAUACCCUGGUAGUCCACGCCGUAAACGGUGGGUGCUAGUUGUGGGCCACAUUCCACGUGGUCCGUGACGAAGUUAACACAUUAAGCACCCCGCCUGGGGAGUACGGUCGCAAGACUAAAACUCAAAGGAAUUGACGGGGGCCCGCACAAGCGGCGGAGCAUGCGGAUUAAUUCGAUGCAACGCGAAGAACCUUACCNAGGCUUGACAUAUAGAGGAAACGUGCAGAANUGU
rnacentral:rRNA from 1 species